GUGAAUCAUCGAAUUUUUGAACGCAAAUUGCGCUUCCUGGCAUCCCGGGAAGUAUGCCUGUUUGAGGGUCAGUAUUAACAAAAAAUCGGUUUGGUUGCAAAUUGUGACGUUUCCGGAGUUUGGGCUUAUUUUACUUUUUUGGGUUAAGGGGUUUAAAAUUGCCUUUUUUGGGGAUUUUUUGGCGGACAUAAAUUUUUUUUUUAUUCUCUUAUUUUUAUUCCAAAAUUUUUAUUAGUUGCAUCAC
rnacentral:misc_RNA from 1 species